GAUGAACGCUGGCGGCGUGCCUAAUACAUGCAAGUCGAGCGAACAGAUGAGGAGCUUGCUCCUCUGACGUUAGCGGCGGACGGGUGAGUAACACGUGGAUAACCUACCUAUAAGACUGGGAUAACUUCGGGAAACCGGAGCUAAUACCGGAUAAUAUAUUGAACCGCAUGGUUCAAUAGUGAAAGACGGUUUUGCUGUCACUUAUAGAUGGAUCCGCGCCGCAUUAGCUAGUUGGUAAGGUAACGGCUUACCAAGGCAACGAUGCGUAGCCGACCUGAGGGGGAGAUACGCCACCCAGAGGAGAGGACACGGGCCAAACUCCGACGGGGGACCGAGUGUGGAAAUUUUCCGGAAGGGGGAAAGGCGUGACGGAGAAACCCCGGGGGGGUAGGAAGAGUCUUCGGUUCGUAAAACGAUUUUUUAUGGGGAAAAAAAAUGUCUAAAAAACGAGGCGCGUUUGGAGGGUACCGAAUAAGAAGGCCAGGAGUAAUAGCUU
rnacentral:rRNA from 1 species